rnacentral:rRNA from 1 species
UACGGAGGGUGCGAGCGUUGUCCGGAAUCACUGGGCGUAAAGAGCUCGUAGGCGGCCUGUUGCGUCCGCUGUGAAAGCCCGGGGCUUAACCCCGGGUCUGCAGUGGAUACGGGCAGGCUAGAGGUAGGUAGGGGAGAAUGGAAUUCCCGGUGUAGCGGUGAAAUGCACAGAUAUCGGGAGGAACACCGGUGGCGAAGGCGGUUCUCUGGGCCUUACCUGACGCUGAGGAGCGAAAGCGUGGGGAGCGAACAGG